rnacentral:tRNA from 1 species
GGGCGUAUAGCUCAGCUGGUUAGAGCGCAACACUGAUAAUGUUGAGGUCGGUGGUUCAAGUCCACCUAUGCCCACCA